GNGGCCUAACACAUGCAAGUCGAGCGGUAGCACAGAGAGCUUGCUCUCGGGUGACGAGCGGCGGACGGGUGAGUAAUGUCUGGGAAACUGCCUGAUGGAGGGGGAUAACUACUGGAAACGGUAGCUAAUACCGCAUAAUGUCGCAAGACCAAAGUGGGGGACCUUCGGGCCUCAUGCCAUCAGAUGUGCCCAGAUGGGAUUAGCUAGUAGGUGGGGUAACGGCUCACCUAGGCGACGAUCCCUAGCUGGUCUGAGAGGAUGACCAGCCACACUGGAACUGAGACACGGUCCAGACUCCUACGGGAGGCAGCAGUGGGGAAUAUUGCACAAUGGGCGCAAGCCUGAUGCAGCCAUGCCGCGUGUGUGAAGAAGGCCUUCGGGUUGUAAAGCACUUUCAGCGGGGAGGAAGGCGNUNAGGUUAAUAACCUNNUCGAUUGACGUUACCCGCAGAAGAAGCACCGGCUAACUCCGUGCCCAGCAGCCGCGGUAAUACGGAGGGGUGCAAGCGUUAAUCGGAAUUACUGGGCGUAAAGCGCACGCAGGCGGUCUGUCAAGUCGGAUGUGAAAUCCCCGGGCUCAACCUGGGAACUGCAUUCGAAACUGGCAGGCUAGAGUCUUGUAGAGGGGGGUAGAAUUCCAGGUGUAGCGGUGAAAUGCGUAGAGAUCUGGAGGAAUACCGGUGGCGAAGGCGGCCCCCUGGACAAAGACUGACGCUCAGGUGCGAAAGCGUGGGGAGCAAACAGGAUUAGAUACCCUGGUAGUCCACGCCGUAAACGAUGUCGAUUUGGAGGUUGUGCCCUUGAGGCGUGGCUUCCGGAGCUAACGCGUUAAAUCGACCGCCUGGGGAGUACGGCCGCAAGGUUAAAACUCAAAUGAAUUGACGGGGGCCCGCACAAGCGGUGGAGCAUGUGGUUUAAUUCGAUGCAACGCGAAGAAACCUUACCUGGUCUUGACAUCCACAGAAACUUUCCAGAGAUGGAUUGGUGCCUUCGGGAACUGUGAGACAGGUGCUGCAUGGCUGUCGUCAGCUCGUGUUGUGAAAUGUUGGGUUAAGUCCCGCAACGAGCGCAACCCUUAUCCUUUGUUGCCAGCGGUUNGGCCGGGAACUCAAAGGAGACUGCCAGUGAUAAACUGGAGGAAGGUGGGGAUGACGUCAAGUCAUCAUGGCCCUUACGACCAGGGCUACACACGUGCUACAAUGGCAUAUACAAAGAGAAGCGACCUCGCGAGAGCAAGCGGACCUCAUAAAGUAUGUCGUAGUCCGGAUUGGAGUCUGCAACUCGACUCCAUGAAGUCGGAAUCGCUAGUAAUCGUAGAUCAGAAUGCUACGGUGAAUACGUUCCCGGGCCUUGUACACACCGCCCGUCACACCAUGGGAGUGGGUUGCAAAAGAAGUAGGUAGCUUAACCUUCGGGAGGGCGCUUACCACUU
rnacentral:rRNA from 2 species